GCAAGGAGGGUGGUAGAGGCUCGCUCAAACUCUGUGAUAGAGACGCAUCAUCUACGGGGAGGUCGAAGUCUGAGAAGUUAAGGUAUAAGGUAUACUGGGCAUAUAAAGAUGUAUUCAGAUCAUCCACCGAUGGUAUAGUCUAAAGUCGUCUAUCCUCUGAGAUAACUUGCAUAGUAUCAACAAGGCCGUUUAUAAUAUCGGCAAGUGGUCAAUCCUUGCACCCAAUAGGGACCGAAUGGAAAUCGCUUCUUGCCAUAUAGUAUAGCGACGUGAUCCUUUGA
rnacentral:lncRNA from 1 species